GUCCACACUGUAAACGAUGAUAACUCGCUGUCGGCGAUACACAGUCGGUGGCCAAGCGAAAGCGAUAAGUUAUCCACCUGGGGAGUACGACCGCAAGGUUGAAACUCAAAGGAAUUGACCGGGGGCCCGCACAAGCGGAGGAACAUGUGGUUUAAUUCGAUGAUACGCGAGGAACCUUACCCGGGCUCGAACGGUGCAUGAAUAGAUCAGAGAUGGUUUAGUCCUUGGGACAUGUAUCGAGGUGCUGCAUGGUUGUCGU
rnacentral:rRNA from 1 species